CGCACGGUGAGUAACACGUAUAGCAAACCCUUGGCCCCCGUUCGUCAGGGGGAUUAAUCGUCGGAAACGGCGUCUAAUACCCCGUAUGAAGCUGGACGGCAUCGUCUGGUUUUGAAAGAAUAUCGGAGACGGAUGGGCAUGCGGCGCAUUAGCUAGUUGGCGGGGUAACGCCCACCAAGGCGACGAUGCGUAGGGGUUCUGAGAGGAAGGUCCCCCACACUGGUACUGAGACACGGACCAGACUCCUACGGAAGGCAGCAG
rnacentral:rRNA from 1 species